AUUCUUCCCAAGCGGGGAAGGAUGAGAAGCUUCGACCAAGGUUCGACUUGAGCGCCAGCGAGAGAGCGUUGCCGCAGGCAACGACCCGAAGGGCGAAGCGCGCAGCGCUGAGUAAUCCUUCCCCCACCACCA
rnacentral:sRNA from 1 species